UUAAAGCUAGAUGCUAAUAGCCUUCUCUCAACUAACUGAUUAAUGACGGCCUAUAUUUUUAAACCAGGUUGCUUAAGGCAAGCUGCAUUAAAUAUGAAGCUCAUGAAUACAAAUAUUGUGCCAGUCACAAUAUUUUAAGUCGAAUGCAUUAUCACCAAUCCAACUACUCUCUUAUGUUCAGAUGACACCAUAGGAAUACAUACAUUUGUUGAAAAUGUAUUCAUACAUUUAUACUAUAUUACAUGCUGAUAGCCUGAGCAAGCUUAUACAUAUACCAGCGUGUGUUUUCAAUAGAAUAUGAUCCAUGAGCAGUCUUGAGCAGUUUGGUAUCAAAAGCGUUAAAUGUUGUUCACCGAAACAUUCAAGAACAAAACCAGCAUAUGCUGUACAAUAGAAUUAUUCUGAAGAAGAAGAAAGAAGAAAAAUAGCAAAGUUGUUUCUAUUCACACACCAAGAAGUAGAGAGGAAAAGAAAUACAUUAUGGAAAAGCAUUCUAAAAAUUCACCAAAUAUUGGCUUUGCCAAGCGAUCAAAUAGUGAAGUUAUGUAGUUUCAUAGAAAUAAAUUAAUAGAUAUAGAGAAGAAAAAGAAAAAAAAUGAUUCCAUUUCUUAAAAAGAAGUUACACAUACAUAAACAUAUGUAUGUAUGUAUGUAUAUUUAUGUGUGUGUAUAUACAUACAUACAUAUAUACACACACACAUAUAUAUAUAUAUAUAUAUAUAUAUAUGGAGACAAAAGAAGAAAAGAAACAAUUGAAAUACAGAAAUGCUAUAGGAAUAAAGAAACAUUAAGUUGUCUACUUUCUGUCAACAACCACUUAACAGUGAAACAGGGUAACUACAUGUCAAAACUACUAGAUAUAAAUCCUUUUAAUAGAAAUAAUCUUUUGCUAAGAUUCUUCAAACCUUUCUAUUCCAGCCCUUAAAUAUAUUGAAAAGGAGAGAAAAGACAGAUGCAGUAAAGAUGAAUACAAAUGUACAAAAUAAGAAGUUAUAUGACUUAUGGAAAGGAGACAAGUGUUAGAUAAGGCAGGAAAAGCAAGGCCAACAAUCAUUAUACUCAUUCGGUGAAUAAAACGAUAGAAGCAUGGAGUAAAUAUAUUAUAAAUGGGAAGUAUAUUGUCAUAUUAUUUAUAUUAUAAAGUGUGUGGUAUGUCAGCUGUUAAAUGAGCAAUAGUAUAAUCCCACAUGCAUGGAAUUAUGAUUCCUAUCAUAUGGCAGUAAGUGCCUGAUUAUUUUCUGUGGAAUCAAAUGACAGAAACUUUACAUAGAGAGAACAAUCUCGGCAACAACACAACUACUAUCAGGCUGUCCAUAUCAUAAGGUUAUGAGAAAGAGUAAUGUGAUUAGUUUAUAUAAGUGAAUUUUUGAAACAAAUAUUUUCUUGUUAUUACCAUCAGAAUAAAAUAAGAAUAAAGAUUAUGAAGUGAAGAUGAAAUUACCAUGACCCAAUUUCAUGGUAAUUGGGAAGCUAUGAAUAAUUCUGGCAAACAAAAUAGUGAGAAUUGGAAAUUGAUUCAUAAAAUCACCAGUGAUAGAGAUGACACUAUAUAAGUUUAUGGAGACAAUAACAUUUACUUUUUAAUAUGUAAGGUCAUAUUGCACAAAAGGGAGAGAAAAAAUGAACUGAGUAUGGCAGAUCAUGAAAGGCAUCAGCCAAAAUAUGCAGAAGAGAAAACUUCAGUUGAAUGGCCAUAACAAACACCGAACAUAAAAGUACCAUCUUUUGGCAAUGAAAGAUGUGGAGAAAAGCCAAGAUAUAGAGAAGUGGUAAGACUGAUCUCAGAAUGUUAGGCCCUGGAAGAUCAGGAGAAGUAAACUUCUGCUAUACUGCUGACCCAUCUGGCUUAAUUCAGCAUGAACAUGCAAAUGUGCAAAAUGUGUCAAACCAAACAAUUUAUCUAAAACAACCUCUAACUCAUGUGAUACAUCAUAGAGAGGUUGCUGUGUGUGGAGCCCUGAUGAGUUUAUCCCAAGUGAAAGUUUCUGAUAUGGUCAAACACCAAUACUCAGCCGUUGUCUUCACAGAAGCCAUUUUUGUUCCCAUCUUUUGGGGCUGUAUAAUUGCAAUAUACAGCAACAUCCAGUCAGUGGUUAAGGUGAUUGUGCACCUAAGUGGUCUUACAGAGUCUCUUUCCACAAUACUUAACACCCCAGUACCAAUCUCAAAAUCCUCGCUCAUGUCAAUUCCAGUUUCUCCAACAUAUUUCUAAAUACUACGAUAUAAAAAGAAAGAAUGCUGUAGAGAUUUUUCAGAUGAUAGAAAGGAUUUUGUAUCUUACUUACAGAAUUAACUGGAAAACACACAGCAAAGGUGUUACAAGAGAAAACUAAGAGUGCUCCAAUUAAUUUAAGUUAAAGUGGAAUGAA